UUUCCCAGAUCUCGAGUGACCGUCUUCUUCUUUCACAAACAAUCAAACAUUGUCCUUCUCUGUCUAAUUGGUCAUUGCUGUGACGAUGGAGGAUUGUGUAUAAGUUUCUCAAUCUUAUAUUUCUUGUGCUUAUCCACCUUCCUCCUCCUCUCCCCCAACUUUUCAUCCCCCUGCUCACUCAACCCAAUUAAUCUCCGCGAAGCGUCCCUCUCUUAAUCCAACUGAAACAAGGAGAGAGAAGAUGAACCUCAAUCUAAAUGACACAGAUCAUUCUCAUGAGGUUAAGAGCAACAAAGAGACAGAUGAAGAUAGUCGGCUCUUGAAGACUCCAUAAUCGUUGAACCUCCUCAUAUAAGGAAUUGGUUUCCGUGCUAUGUUUCUGAAUUGCAAACAAGUGAUGAAGUUUGUUUGUCUCCUAUUGGAGAAAAUAAAUCUACAAAGGAUACAGAAGUUAAGAAAGAUAUUUCAAAGACCAGAUGGAUGUCGGUGAGGACAGUCAGUUUGACGCAGACAAAACUGACAGUAUUUCUUGAGAAACUAUGAGGAAGAAAGAGACUUCGCAAACAAGCCAUGAAGGUGAAGUCAUUGCCUUGAAGAACAGAGUGAAAUAUGUAAAAACGGUAGUGGAUAAUUUGCAUGAUCUUAUCAAUCAUUUAGUUAGUUCCAAUGGCAAAAAAAUAAUGUAAUGCUAUUAGUUUAUAAGUAUUUUCGUAUUUUAUGUAAUGGCUGAUGGAAUGUUAUGUGUGGAUGUAUUCUUAUGGCUUAUAUUAUUAGAUUAUGAAUAUGGCUUAUGAUUGUUUA